CCCACACACACACAUACACAGACACACACACACACACUCGCUCACACUCAAACACACAGAGAAUAGGGCGGUUGAGAGGACCGAAAACACUGUGAAGUGGAGGCAGCGGUGCUCCUGUGGACAGUGUGUUGGUCUUCAGUACCAGGCAAAGCCUCCAGAGACCAGGCCGGACGGACUCUUCUGCAGGUAUGACAGAGGUUGCCUGCUAAGCUGCUCACGUCACCCUGGAUCUGCUGAUGGCUUCAGCUCCCUAAGCCAAGCCUGACGCCUUGCCUGAUGUGGACGCUUUUUAAUGAUGUUACUGAACCAGACUUCAUUUUCUUGGCUGUGGCAGCAAGAAGCCUCAUCACUUGCACCUAAUCUUCAGAUUUUUGUGCUCUCGUUUUCUUCCCUUCUCACCUUCUUUCUCUUCUUCACCCGGAGAUUGAGUUCAGCCUGUAUUGUUGGGUAACUGAGUGAAACAGACCAACAGGAGGCAUAGGAAGACCAUGGAAAUUAGACCGGCUUUUAGAGGCAGGCUGCCCCUCUGAAUCAGCCAGCAGUACUAAGUCAUGGCGACAGGACUUGUGGUAUAAUCUUGCAGAUGUUUUGCCAUUCAUUCAGGGGGCUUCAUCAGAAACAUCUUUAGGAUUAUACCCAUCUCUUCUUUUACUUACUGCUACAAAGUCCAGCGACCUGCACGACCAAAAACCUUCAUGGACCGAUUGACAGUGUAGUAGAAAAAACAAAACAGCAAAGAAGACAUAAUUCAUAUAUGAAAGUACUUUUAGAUAUGGCCAUGCUUCCAUUGAACUAUUAUUAUUUUGCAUGGUAGUAGUAAGCAUUAUAAUAACAGUGAGAUUUAAUUCCUACCAUAAAUUUAUGGCAUUAUUAAUAUUUUAUAACUAAUUUUAAUUAUUGUUAUCAUUGUCACAGAUUACAUUGCUAGUGUGUUUUUUGAAAGAUAAUGUAUAUUUUGUACAGUGAAUUGACUACAUCAAUUUAAAUGUUCUAUUUGGCGAUCUUGAGAGCAGAUUUGCUGUAAAGGUAGGAAUUUUUCUUGUGAGAGCAUUGGCAGCAGUCCUCAUAAGAGCAGUCUUCUUGUUUCUGUGAACGCCCCUUAUGUGAUAUUUGUGUUCAGAGUCACAUUCCCGAUUUCAUAUGCACGGUAUGAAUAACAUUUGCAAACAGCUUUCUUCUGCGGUCUUAAAAAUGGCUCCCGUAUGGAAGCCAUAUCGAGUCUGUUAAGCGAUGCGUCUCUGUCAUGAACCUUGCGUCAUGUUACCCAGUUGAAGUACCCAGGCACAGAUGGGGGGAGGGGGUCAUACUACACACAGAGUAUUGACUCACUCCCAUUUAGAUUCCUUGCUAAAGUACUGUGACUAACAGUAAGCUGAGAUGUGCCGGGGGCUGAGUGUUGCGGAACAAAGAGGGGGCUGUAUAGGCGAAGUGUGAGGAAGACAUGGUUAAUUAUGUCAGCUGUUGGGGAGGCCGGUGCCGGGCUUUAAUUUAUGGUGGCAGGGCAAGAAGGGAAGUGUGUUUGGGAGGACAGGGCCCCGUGAGGCCACUGAAGAGGGCUGAGAGGAAUGGAGUCAGGAGGAGGCUCGGGAGGUGUCAAGGACCUUUGAAAUGAUAGAGUGGGAUUAUCGAUAAAAUCAGGUGCCUCCCUCCCAGACUCAAAACCAGGAGCCCUGCUCCUCUGAAAAUAAUCUCAGACUCUGAGUACAUACAAAACAGAGGAAAAAUAUAAUUUUAACAUCUGAAAUGGGUCUUUCAGUGUGGAAAUACAAAUAUUCAAAA